UUCUUCUGUGAGUCCUAGGGAUCAAACUCU
rnacentral:piRNA from 1 species